GUCUGAGCUGUAUACGGCACUGGGGCACUGGAUGAAGGUAAUGGUGCAGCGCUCUAAAGCCCUGGGCAAACUAGGGGCGGACCAUUAAAAAAGUGAUGGGGGGGGGAAACAAAAAUAAAAUUCGAGCAGGGAAAAUAGAAAGAAAAAAAAUUCGUGCACCAGAAAUGUCUGAAAAAAAAAUUCGUGCAGAGACUUUUCAUUAGAGAAAAUUACAGGACCUAUCGGAGGUACAGUGUAAGGGUGUUCCCUGAAAUUUCGAAAAUAAGCUUUUUCAACGUGUUUUAAGACGUUUUUCGGGGAAAAUGUGUUUUAAACCUAAUUGAAUUGAUCUUAGUCCGAAAAAAUUUUUUUUGACCCUAUUUCUCUUUGUCCUGCAAAAAUUUUUGAGUCCGGAAAAAAAUUUUCACCUACCCCUCCCCCCCCUCGCCAGCAAUGUUUGGAAAAAAGGAGCAAAAAAAUUUGAGCAAGGGAUUAUUUAAAAAAAAAAUAACCGACACAGCAAAACAUUUUGAAAAAAAAUCGUGCACGUUGAAAAUGGACCCCCC